UACGUAGGGGGCAAGCGUUAUCCGGAUUUAUUGGGUUUAAAGGGUGCGUAGGCGGGAUGCCAAGUCAGCGGUAAAAAUGCGGUGCUCAACGCCGUCGAGCCGUUGAAACUGGCGUUCCUGAGUGGGCGAGAAGUAUGCGGAAUGCGUGGUGUAGCGGUGAAAUGCAUAGAUAUCACGCAGAACUCCGAUUGCGAAGGCAGCAUACCGGCGCCCUACUGACGCUGAGGCACGAAAGCGUGGGGAGCAAACAGG
rnacentral:rRNA from 1 species